rnacentral:rRNA from 1 species
UACGGGAUAAUAUAUUUGAGAGGCAUCUCUUGAAUAUCAAAGGUGAGCCAGUACAGGAUGGACCCGCGUCUGAUUAGCUAGUUGGUAAGGUAACGGCUUACCAAGGCGACGAUCAGUAGCCGACCUGAGAGGGUGAUCGGCCACAUUGGAACUGAGACACGGUCCAAACUCCUACGGGCGGCAGCAGUGGGGAAUAUUGCACAAUGGGCGAAAGCCUGAUGCAGCAACGCCGCGUGAGUGAUGAAGGCCUUCGGGUCGUAAAACUCUGUCCUCAAGGCAGAUGAUGACGGUGCUUGAGGAGAAAGCCCCGGCUAA